AUUGAACGCUAGCGGGAUGCUUUACACAUGCAAGUCGAACGCGUGGCGGACGGGUGAGUAAUAUAUCGGAACGUGCCCAGUAGCGGGGGAUAACUACUCGAAAGAGUCGCUUAUACCGUAUCCUCUUGGAUCCGCCGAUAUCGGAUGAGCUAGUUGGUGGGGUAAAGGCUCACCAAGGCCACGAUCCGUAGCUGGUUUGAGAGGACGACCAGCCACACUGGGACUGAGACACGGGCCAGACUCCUACGGGAGGCAGCAGUGGGGAAUUUUGGACAAUGGGGGAAACCCUGAUCCAGCCAUCCCGCGUGUAUGAGAAGGCCUUCGGGUUGUAAAGUACUUUUGGCAGAGAAGCGGUAUCUGCAGAAUAAGCACCGGCUAACUACGUGCCAGCAGCCGCGGUAAUUC
rnacentral:rRNA from 1 species